rnacentral:snRNA from 1 species
AUACUUACCUGGCAGGAGAGAUACCAUGAUUAUGAAGAUGGUUUUCCCAGGAUGAGGCUUAUCACAUUGCACUCCAAAUGUGCUGACCCUGUGAUUUCCCCAAAUGUUUAAAACUCUACUGCAUAAGUUAUAGUAGCAGGGGACUGCGUUCAUGCUCUCCCUCU